AUUGAACGCUGGCGGCGUGCCUAACACAUGCAAGUCGAGCGGUAACAGGUGUAGCAAUACAUGCUGACGAGCGGCGAACGGGUGAGUAAUGCUUUGGAAUCUUCCCAGUAGUGGGGAACAACCAGUCGAAAGAUUGGCUAAUACCGCAUACGUCGGAGACGAGAAAGCGGGGGAUCGUAAGACCUCGCGCUAUUGGAUGAGCCAAAGUCGGAUUAGCUAGUUGGUGAGGUAAUGGCUCACCAAGGCGACAAUCCGUAGCUGGUCUGAGAGGACGACCAGCCACAC
rnacentral:rRNA from 1 species